AGAGUUUGAUCAUGGCUCAGAACGAACGCUGGCGGCAGGCUUAACACAUGCAAGUCGAGCGCCCUGCUUGCAGGGAGCGGCAGACGGGUGAGUAACGCGUGGGAAUCUACCCAGCUCUACGGAAUAACUGAGGGAAACUUCAGCUAAUACCGUAUACGUCCUUCGGGAGAAAGAUUUAUCGGAGUUGGAUGAGCCCGCGUUGGAUUAGCUAGUUGGUGGGGUAAUGGCCUACCAAGGCGACGAUCCAUAGCUGGUCUGAGAGGAUGAUCAGCCACACUGGGACUGAGACACGGCCCAGACUCCUACGGGAGGCAGCAGUGGGGAAUAUUGGACAAUGGGCGCAAGCCUGAUCCAGCCAUGCCGCGUGAGUGAUGAAGGCCCUAGGGUUGUAAAGCUCUUUCAACGGUGAAGAUAAUGACGGUAACCGUAGAAGAAGCCCCGGCUAACUUCGUGCCAGCCGCCGCGGUAAUUC
rnacentral:rRNA from 1 species